GGUUCAGUGGUCUAAUGGUUAUGAUUUCUGUCUCACAUGGUGUUCUUGGCAAUGGAUGUGCACAGAAGGUUCUGAGUUCGAUCCUCAGCUGAACCA